rnacentral:lncRNA from 1 species
GCUCAACGGCUGCGGCCCCGUCGAGAUCCGCGUCCUCGGUGCGACCCUAAAACAUUUUGGGGGGGGGUCGGGGUCAUUUAGGGCCUUUUUGGGGUCACCUUUAGGACCUGGAUCCCUUUUGGGGUCAUUUAGGGCUCUUUUGGGGUCACCUUUAGGUCCUGGAUCCCUUUUGGGGUCAUUUAGGGCUCUUUUGGGGUCAUGUUUAGGACCUGGAUCCCUUUUGGGGUCAUUUAGGGCUUUUUUGGGGUCACCUUUAGGACCUGGAUCCCUUUUAGGGUCACCUGGGUCCUUUUUGGGGUCACCUUUAGGACCUGGAUCCCUUUUGGGGUCACCUUAGGACCUGGAUCCCAUUUGGGGUCAUUUAGGGCCGUUUUAGGGUCACCUUUAGGACCUGGAUCCCUUUUGGGGUCAUUUAGGACUCUUUUGGGAUCAUAUAGGGCCAUUAUAGCGUCACAUUUAGGACCUGGAUCCCUUUUAGGGUCACCUGGGUCCCUUUUUGGGGUCACCUUUAGGACCUGGAUCCCUUUUGGGGUCAUUUAGGGCCAUUGUAGGGUCACCUUUAGGACCUGGAUCCCUUUUGGGGUCACUUUUAGGACCUGGAUCCCUUUUGGGGUCAUGUUUAAGACCUGGAUCCCUUUUAGGGUCACCUAGGGCCCUUUUGGGGUCAUUUCGGACCAUUUUGGGGUCAUUUAGGGUCAUUAUAGGGUCACCUUUAGGACCUGGAUCCCUUUUAGGGUCACCUGGGUCCCUUUUGGGGUCACCUUUAAGACCUGCGUCCCUUUUGGGGUCACCUUUAGGACCUGGAUCCCUUUUUGGGGUCACCUUUAGGACCUGGGUCCCUUUUGGGGUCA